UACGAAGGGGGCGAGCGUUGUUCGGAUUUACUGGGCGUAAAGGGCGCGCAGGCGGCUCAUUUUGUCAGGCGUGAAAGCCCCGGGCUUAACCUGGGAACUGCGUUUGAUACGGAUGGGCUAGAGUUCGGGAGAGGAGAGUGGAAUUCCCAGUGUAGAGGUGAAAUUCGUAGAUAUUGGGAAGAACACCGGUGGCGAAGGCGGCUCUCUGGACCGAGACUGACGCUGAGGCGCGAAAGCGUGGGGAGCAGACAGG
rnacentral:rRNA from 1 species